CCCUGCUCAACGUUCAGCAUUGACCGCCGGCGCUACGUGCUCGACUCGCCAAAGGCCGAAGUGCGCGGUCAGGUGCUGGCACCGCUGCCCCUGCACGGAGAUAUAACCCUCAGUUAAGAACCAUGGAGAAGAGGCAUUUUCUACAGAAGACUUGAUUUGCAAUUCAUAUGCUACUCUAAGAGAGGGAAAAUUCAUCCCCCACCCUGCAGAGUUUGUGUAGUUUAACUUCUGCUCCACUAAUCUGGCUUGGAAAUGUAUUCUCCUCUUAAUUUGUGAAUGAAAUGAAAGGACACAUUAUAUCUCAUUAAUGCCACGAAUCAAUGUCUGGCAAAGCACUGGAAGUGAUCUCUGGUGAAUAUCGCAGUGGUGGAAAGCAUGCAGUCUAGGCUGCCUGGAUUGAAUGUGAGCUUCAUCACCCACUGUCAAUGACCUUGGGCAAGUUACCAACUCUCUCUGUGCCUCAGUUUCUUCCUCUCACAUGGGGAAGGACUUAUUUCGUUAGGUUGCUAUGGGGAUUAAAUUACUUAUAUAUUUGAAAUGCUCACAAGAGUACCUAGUAUUUUAAAAUGUGUUUUGUCAAAUUUAAAAAUACAGUAACUAAAAUAUCAAUAUGCUCCUCAUAGGGGUAUCCAG